GAUGAACGCUGGCGGCGUGCCUAAUACAUGCAAGUCGAACGCAUUGUGGUUGAAAUGAUAUGAAGAACUUGUUCAGAUUUGAUUUUCAACACUGCAAUGAGUGGCGAACGGGUGAGUAACACGUGGGAAACCUACCUCUUAGCAGGGGAUAACAUUUGGAAACAAAUGCUAAUACCGUAUAAUAAUUAAAACCGCAUGGUUUAGUUUAAAAGAUGGUCUUGCUAUCACUAAGAGAUGGUCCCGCGGUGUAUUAGUUAGUUGGUGAGGUAAUGGCUCACCAAGACAAUGAUACAUAGCCGAGUUGAGAGACUGACCGGCCACAAUGGGACUGAGACACGGCCCAUACUCCUACGGGAGGCAGCAGUAGGGAAUCUUCCACAAUGGACGAAAGUCUGAUGGAGCAACGCCG
rnacentral:rRNA from 1 species